rnacentral:rRNA from 1 species
GGAUCCAGACUUUGAUCCUGGCUCAGGAUGAACGCUAGCUACAGGCUUAACACAUGCAAGUCGAGGGGAAACGACAUCGAAAGCUUGCUUUUGAUGGGCGUCGACCGGCGCACGGGUGAGUAACGCGUAUCCAACCUGCCCAUCACUUGGGGAUAACCUUGCGAAAGUAAGACUAAUACCCAAUGACGUCUCUAGAAGACAUCUGAAAGAGAUUAAAGAUUUAUCGGUGAUGGAUGGGGAUGCGUCUGAUUAGCUUGUUGGCGGGGUAACGGCCCACCAAGGCGACGAUCAGUAGGGGUUCUGAGAGGAAGGUCCCCCACAUUGGAACUGAGACACGGUCCAAACUCCUACGGGAGGCAGCAGUGAGGAAUAUUGGUCAAUGGACGAGAGUCUGAACCAGCCAAGUAGCGUGCAGGAUGACGGCCCUAUGGGUUGUAAACUGCUUUUAUAAGGGAAUAAAGUGAGUCUCGUGAGACUUUUUGCAUGUACCUUAUGAAUAAGGACCGGCUAAUUCCGUGCCAGCAGCCGCGGUAAUACGGAAGGUCCGGGCGUUAUCCGGAUUUAUUGGGUUUAAAGGGAGCGUAGGCCGGAGAUUAAGCGUGUUGUGAAAUGUAGACGCUCAACAUCUGCACUGCAGCGCGAACUGGUUUCCUUGAGUACGCACAAAGUGGGCGGAAUUCGUGGUGUAGCGGUGAAAUGCUUAGAUAUCACGAAGAACUCCGAUUGCGAAGGCAGCUCACUGGAGCGCAACUGACGCUGAAGCUCGAAAGUGCGGGUAUCGAACAGGAUUAGAUACCCUGGUAGUCCGCACGGU